rnacentral:rRNA from 1 species
CCUACGGGAGGCAGCAGUAGGGAAUCUUCCACAAUGGGCGCAAGCCUGAUGGAGCAACACCGCGUGAGUGAAGAAGGGUUUCGGCUCGGAAAGCUCUGUUGUUGGAGAAGAACGUGCGUGCGAGUAACUGUUUACGCAGUGACGGUAUCCAACAAGAAAGUCACGGCUAACUACGUGCCAGCAGCCGCGGUAAUACGUAGGGAGCAAGAGUUAUCCGGAUUUAUUGGGCGUAAAGCGAGGGCAGGCGGUGGUUUAGGUCUGAUGUGAAAGCCUUCGGGUUAACCGAAGAAGUGCAUCGGAAACCGGGCGACUUGAGUGCAGGAGAGGACAGUGGAACGCCAUGUGUAGCGGUGAAAUGCGUAGAUAUAUGGAAGAACGCCGGUGGCGAAGGCAGCUGUCUGGUCUGCAACUGACGCUGAGGCUCGAAAGCGUGGGUAGCGAACAGGAUUAGAUACCCUUGUAGUC